rnacentral:lncRNA from 1 species
GUUCGCAUAGAUGACAACAGUCAAGAUUCGGUUUACCGAGUAUUGUCUAUGAGCUAUGAAGAUUUGCCCAUGCAGUUAAAGCAUUGCUUCCUAUACCUAGCUCAUUUUCCCGAAGAUGACAAGAUACAAGUACGGAUAUUGUAUAAUCUUUGGGAAGCAGAAGGAAUAAUAACGUCAAGUUGCGAUGGAGAAACCACUAGGAAAAUUGGAGAAGAAUACAUAGACGAGCUAGUAAGGAGAAAUAUGGUUAUUGCAGUAAAAGAUGAUUUGAGUUGCAAAUGGAAGUAUUGUCAAAUGCAUGACAUGAUGAGAGAAGUAUGUUUAUAUAAAGCCAAAGAAGAGAACUUUCUUCAGUUUAUCGAAGUACCUACUUCUUCCACCUCUACCAUCAAUGCGCAUACUCCUACCAGAGCUCGCAGACUCGUAGUACACGGUGAUGGUAAUGCAUUUGAUAUGCUGGGACGUAAAAACAAUCAAAAAGCUAGAUCUGUUUUGGGUUUUGGACUCGACAGCAACUUGUGGAAGCAGUCAGGUCAAGGAUUACGAAAUUUACAACUACUUAGGGUCUUAGAUCUGAAUUUACAAACACAUGAUAGCGACUCUAGAGGAGGGAGAAUACCAUCCAGCAUUGGAAAGCUCAUUCAUUUGAGAUAUUUGAGCUUACACAUGGGUCGUGCAACUCAUGUACCUUCUUCUUUACGGAAUCUAAAGCUUCUAAUCUGUUUGAGCAUUUACUCCGAGGGAAGAGUUCAUCUGCCAAGUAUCUUUAAAGAGAUGGUAGAGUUAAGGUCCCUGAUGCUUCCCCGUUAUAUUGACGCUAAAACAAAGUUGGAAUUGGGUAAUCUACUGAACCUAGAGUACUUGGUCGGCUUCCGACUUGAAUACGGUAGCAUCACAGACUUCCUCCGAAUGAAAAAGCUCAGGACUCUCGAGAUAUUUCUCAAAGGCAGGUAUACUUCUGAAAUUCUUGCGUCAUCUCUCUGUGAAUUAACAAACCUGGAGACGCUUAAAUUGAUCAAUGUGAACGGAUACGAUGAGGCUUAUGAUUUGGAUUUCGUUUGGAAUUUCAUUCAUCUAAGGCAUUUAGAGCUGGACAUACAUAUAACAAGGCUUCCUGAUCACUCUCGAUUUCCUCCCCACCUUGCACACAUAUCUCUAUGUGACUGUAAAAUGGAGGAGGAUCCACUGCAGAUUCUGCAAAAGUUGCUUCAUUUAAAGUCGGUUGAAUUAUCAUAUAGUACUUUCGUGGGGAGGAAGAUGGUGUGUUCAAAAGGUGGAUUCCCUCAGUUAUGUAAGCUACAAAUACGGUUCCUGCACAACUUGGAAGAGUGGAUAGUCGAAGAAGGGUCGAUGCCAUGUCUUCGUACCUUGUCUAUUCGGUAUUGUAAGAAGUUGAAGGAGCUACCGGAAGGGCUCAAGUAUAUAACUUAUUUAAAGGAACUGGAUAUCAGACAUAACAACAAGGAGUGGAAGAAGAAACUCGCACCAGGUGGGGAAAGUUAUCACAAAGUCAAACACAUUCCUAGUGUUCAAUUAAACUAUCGUGGCAAUUAAUAAGGAGAAUAAAACUGUCUCAGGUAUAUAUUCUUUUUGGUAUAAUGUCAAUAUUGUUCAUUUUGUUGGUUAUGUAUCCUCCUUGAAGUUUAGUGUGAGUCUCAACUCUCUGUUAUUCGGUUUUCAGGUGAACCUACUCAGGAUCAGUACCCACCACUAUCGAUUGUGUGAUAUGAUAAUAAGUCGUUUUUGUUGUAUGAAGUUUACAUAUCUUGUUUGUGAUAUAUUUCGUUUAUCUGUUUGCAUGCUCAUUCACUGUAAUACUAAGUUUGAAAUAUAUUUUGUAUGUUGAACCAUAUCUUCUUCGAUGUCUCCGUUGUGUGUGCUUAGUUGAUUUUCAUAGUCGGAACUGGAGAUAGAACGAUGGUUUUAUCAUGACAAAACGCAAGAACAACAACACAUAUAAAUUAGAUAUGUUGUAACAACUAUUUAAAAAAUUGAAUGAUGGAAACCCCAAAUUUGUUUAAAGAAAAUGAUGUUGAUAGUGGUUUUUGAAAAAAAAAAAGGGAUUAUGAUGAACAAUAACAAUGAAAACUCAUUGUAAACACGCUUUAGAGAGCCAAACAAAUAAAUCAAUUCUAAGAUUUUUGGUGGAAAGGUAAUUUAAGAGGAGAUGGAAAACGAUAACAGGAAUGAGUCUUUAAAAACACACAUAUAUAUAGAUUGAUAAAGGAUGCUUCAUCUAAGAGUUGUAUUGUUUUGAGAUGGAGACUAUUCGGUGAAAAGAUGCAACGCACCGCAGUUUUGUUUUUUUAUAUCAUUAAAUUCAAUCAAAUAUGACUGUUGGACUUAAAACCUUUUUUCUUUUAAAAAGUGACGAUAUCACCAGUUUUGGUAUGCUAUUAUAUAUAUAAUUUUUUUAUAAUGAAAAUAUACAAUUUUAAAAAUUAAUAAUAUUCAGAUUGUUAUGAAAAUAUACAAUUUAUAUAAUGAACAGACACAAUUUUUCAAACUAAUACAUUUCAGUUUUUUUUUAUGAAACAACACAACCAAAGUAGUUAUUUUGAAAAGACACAACUAUUUCGAUUUUUAGAAAAGAUACAACUUUUCAACAUAAGUAAGAUUCAUAACCUUUGAAAUUAAUCAGGAUUGCUAUUAUUAGUAGAUAAAAUAUUUGAUUUUAUCAUAUAUAUAUAUAUAUUAACAGUGGCGGUUCUACUAAGCUCAAGAAGGUGGCACUUGCCCCCUAUAAAAUCAUUAAAUUCUUUUUAACUUACCCAAAAUUUUGUUACAUACGUUUACUGAAAAUCAUGUUUUAUUUAUAUAGUUGUAUUUACAUAUGAUUUGCCCCCAGUAAAAUUUUGUUCUACAUCCGCCCCUGUAUAUUAAUUAACUUUUAGAAAUCCGACAUUUAUAUUUUUUUGUUACACUAUUUGGUGUAUACAAAAUAUGUUUUAUAGAAUUUAAAAUGUAUUUUUAUAUAUAAUUUUACGAAAUAUUAUCAAAAUAUAUUGAAAUGUUAAGAAAAAAUAGAAAUGAACUUCAUUUGUGAAUAUAAAACAAAUAAUACAAUGUUUAAUGUUUGUACUUUAUGUGUUUAUUAAUUAUAGAAUUUUUACUGCAUAUUGUUAUAAAUAUAUAUAUAUAUUUUAAAAACAUUUGAAAAGACUAAACACACUAUUAUUUCAAGACUCUGAUCUUAUAACGUGUGUUACUAUUUUCAGAAUUUGAUGUUGAUGAGGAACUAGAAGCCAUGGGUAAGGAAAUGGUGGCAUAUUGUGGAGGACUACCAUUAGCCAUUAAAGUGUUGGGAGGCUUGUUAGCUAAUAAAACCAUGGUUGAAGAGUGGAAAAGAGUAGAUGACAAUAUUCAAACUCAGAUAGUUCGCAUAGAUGACAAAAGUCAAGAUUCUGUUUACCGAGUAUUGUCUAUGAGCUAUGAAGAUUUGCCAAUGCAGUUAAAGCAUUGCUUCCUAUACCUAGCUCAUUUUCCCGAAGAUGACAAGAUACAAGUACGGAUAUUGUAUAAUCUUUGGGAAGCAGAAGGAAUAAUAACGUCAAGUUGCGAUGGAGAAACCACUAGGAAAAUUGGAGAAGAAUACAAUAGACGAGCUAGUAAGGAGAAAUAUGGUUAUUGCAGUAAAAGAUGAUUUGAGUUGCAAAUGGAAGUAUUGUCAAAUGCAUGACAUGAUGAGAGAAGUAUGUUUAUAUAAAGCCAAAGAAGAGAACUUUCUUCAGUUUAUCGAAGUCCCUACUUCUUCCAUCUCCACCAUCAAUGCUCAUACUCCUACCAGAUAUCGCAGACUCGUAGUACACGGUGGUGGUAAUGCAUUUGAUAUGCUGGGAAGUAAAAACAAUCAAAAAGCUAGAUCUGUUUUGGGGUUUGGACUCGACAGCAACUUGUGGAAGCAGUCAGCUCAAGGACUCAGAAAUUUACAAUCACUUAGGGUCUUAGAUCUGAGUUUAGAUUAUAAAAACGACUCUAAAGGAGGGAGAAUACCUUCGAGCAUUGGAAAACUCAUUCAUUUGAGAUAUUUGAGCUUAGACAUGGGUUGGGCAACUCAUGUACCUUCUUCUUUACGGAAUCUAAAGCUUCUAAUCUAUUUGAGAAUUUCCUCCUGGGGACUGGAAAGAGUUCAUCUGCCAAGUAUCUUUAACGAGAUGGUACAGUUGAGGGUCCUGAUUCUUCCCCGUUCUUUUGAGGCUAAAACAAAGUUGGAAUUGGGUAAUCUCGUGAACCUGGAGUACCUGAUCGGCUUCCGAUCAGAAUACGGUAGCAUCACAGACUUCCUCCGGAUGAAAAAGCUCAGGACUCUCGAGACCUGGAGAAGCUUACAUUGAUCAAUGAGAACAACAAAUCCGAUGGGGUUUAUGAUUUGGAUUUCGUUUGGAAUUUCAUUAAGCUAAGGCAUUUAGUGAUAUGGAUGCAUAUGCCAAGGCUUCCUGAUCACUCUCGAUUGCCUCCCAACCUUGCACACAUAUCUCUAACUAACUGUGAAAUGGAGGAGGAUCCACUGCAGAUUCUGCAAAAGUUGCUUCAUUUAAAGUCGGUUGAAUUACAUCAAAGAUCUUUCGUGGGGAGGAAGGUGGAUUCCCUCAAUUAUGUAAGCUAGACAUAUGGUACCUAGACGACUGGGAAGAGUGGAUAGUCGAAGAAGGGUCGAUGCCAUGUCUUCGUACCUUGUCUAUUCGGUUCUGUGACAAGUUGAAGGAGCUACCGGAAGGGCUCAAGUAUAUCACUUCUUUAAAGGAACUGGUUAUCACACAUCAGAACAAGGAGUGGAAGACAAAACUCGUACCAGGUGGGGAAAGUUAUUACAAAGUCCAACACAUUCCAAGUGUUCAAUUAAACUAUCUUGGCCACGAAUAAGGAGAACAAAACUGUCUCAGGUAUAUAUUAUUUUUGGUAUAAUGUCAAUAUUGUUCAUUUUGUUUGUUAUAUAUCCUCCUUGGAGUUUUGUGUGAAAGUAUGAACUCUCUGUUAUUCGGUUUUCAGGUGAACCUACUCAGGAUCAGUACCCACCACUACCGAUUGUGUGAUAUGAUAAUAAGUCGUUUUUGUUGUAUUGGUGUAUGAAGUUUACAUAUCUUGUUUGUGAUAUAUUCCGUUUUAUCUAUUUGCAUGCUCAUUCACUGUAAUGCUAAGUUUGAAAUACAUCUGCAUGUUGAACCAUAUCUUCUUCGCUGUCUCCGUUGUGUGUGCCUAGUUGACUUGUAUUGUAUGGUCGGAAAUGGAGAUAGAACGGUGCUUUGAUAGUGAUCACUUAAUACUAUUCUUAACAUGAUUUUAUCAUUUGGUUUAAGGAAUGUCAAGAGCUUUUAAAUGAAACAUCUAGUUAAUCCGUUUUAACAGAUAUAGAACCUUGGAGUUUAUUGAAACCAAAGUCAAGAGUUUCUCACCACAAUGAGACUAUCCUCACAGUUGAUAUCAAUGGCGCAAUCAAAUCAUAUAUACAACACCUUAGAGGAUUCAAGAAAGUCUCUUGGUUCCAUUCCUUCGCGACCUGGUUCGCUUUUUUCACUACUCAAGUGAUCAGCACUUUUGAUUGAAAACUGAUACCACACAGCAUCCACUUGAAACUAAACAUAAAUAUACAACCAAACAGUUACGCAAUGAUAGCUCAACCAGACAGAACCGAACCGAAUCUUAGUUUUGCUUUCCAAAUUUUAAAUAACGGGAUAAACCGGUUGAUUCUCAUCCAGUUCUGUAAUUUGUCUGACACUACUCAAGUGAUCAGCACUUUUGAUUGAAAACUAAUAACACACAGCACCCACUUGAAAGUUGAAACUAAACGCAACUCAAUGAUAAACCGGGAUAAACCGGUUAGUUCUCAUCGAGUUCUGUAAUUUGUCUUUUACUAUCAAACCGGACAAAUUGAUGGUUUAAAAACAAAACUCAGUCUGGAUUAUAAUAAAAUCAGAUCAUGAAACUCUACCAAACAAGAGUCCUUUCGGUCUCUGCAAAUUUGUUUUCGACUCUAAUUGAGAGGAGGAGAAGUCCAGUACUUGAAACGAAUCCAAAAACGCGGUGAUCCGUGCGUUUUCAGACACCAUCGCGACCGUAUGCAUAACUGGGUUAGAGCUUCCUCAUCCGAUUUCACCGGAACUCCUCCACAGCCCAGGAGGUAAAUUAAUUACUUCUUCUCCAUUCAAUUUCCGAUUUUAAUUUCAGCUGAUGAUUUUUAUUCUUCAUCAGUGGACAUACAGCUGUCAAUGUCGGAAAAUCCAUGGUCGUGGUGUUCGGCGGCCUCGUCGACAAGAAGUUCCUCAACGACAUCAUUGUUUAUGACAUUGGUAAUAUCAUACUUCCUUAGGAUUAUUGUUUCCUUGCUUCAAGAAAGAUGCUUUCUUUCUCACGAGUUACGUUCUUGGCUUGCUCUGCUUGUCUCUAGUAGUUUAUUUGAUAGAACGAUGCUUACAUCAAAGAUAGUUACUUUGCAACAAAAAAAAAAAAAAACUAUAGAAAGCUGAAAACUUCAAGAUGAGAUUAUUCGAUUCGGUGUUGUUGAAGAGGAAUCAGAUGGAUACUCUCUUUUCUUAUUUUGCUAGUUUUGUUUCUGAGCUUCUUUUGACCCCUCCUUGGCCUUGUUUUAAGUAUCAUAUAUGUGCAGCUUUUUUGAUCAUGUGAUAAUCGGUUUGUCUUAUGAUUUGCUUCUUCUUUAUCCUGUCGACUAGAGAACAAACUCUGGUUUGAGCCAGAGUGUACUGGCAGCGUUUCUGAAGGAAAAGUUGGCCCUACACCUCGCGCCUUUCAUGUUGCCAUCACUAUUGAUUGCCAUAUGUUCAUCUUUGGUGGACGUUCUGGUGGCAAGAGGUACUCACUACUAUAUAUUUUCUAGUUAGAAGCGUUUUUACAUUUCUACUUUCACCGGAAUAGCUUAUUUCUAGAAAUAAAUCAAUUUCAGAUUGGGUGACUUCUGGGUUCUAGAUACAGGUAAGUGUACAAUCAUAACAAUGUCAGUGACAUUAUGUCACUGAGACCUGCCUGGGAACUUUUUAAUACCCUGCUGCUGACAUUUUCUGCAGAUAUAUGGCAGUGGUCUGAGCUAACCAGCUUUGGCGACUUACCUACACCUCGUGAUUUUUCUGCUGCCGCUGCUAUUGGCAACCAGAAAAUCGUGUUGUGAGUAUCUGAAAUUUUAGACGUUCCAUCAGCUUGUUUCCUGCAUUGGCUUAGCCUAUGAUCAUUGGCAGGUGUGGCGGCUGGGAUGGUAAAAAAUGGCUGUCAGAUGUGUAUGUUAUGGACACAAGUAUAUCUCUCGUCUACUUCAGUUUUGUAAUAAACUGUUUUUAAGUUUCUGAUAAUGUCAGCUUUCUUGGUGUCUGUUAGUGUCUCUUGAAUGGAUGGAGCUGUCGGUUUCGGGGUCGUUGCCGCCUCCUAGAUGUGGCCAUACAGCCACCAUGGUUGAGAAACGUUUACUUGUUUUUGGUGGCCGAGGUAUAACACCAGAACCAGAAUCUUUGUUCUGCUUGAGCUGAUGACAACUAAACUGAGACUAUGGUUAUCUUUGACAGGAGGUGGUGGCCCUAUCAUGGGUGAUCUGUGGGCUUUGAAGGGUCUAAUAGAUGAAGGUUCAUCCUUACCUAAAUUACUUAAAAAUUGCAUUCUUAUGUUCUGUUUGCUAAUCUUAUUGUGGUUUACCUUUGUUGUGCAAGAAAGAACGUGAAACACCUGGAUGGACCCAACUAAAGCUUCCUGGCCAAGCACCAUCAGCUCGAUGUGGUCACACUGUCACAUCCGGAGGACAUUAUGUAUGUCUAUUUCAGCUUCCGUUUGCUCUUUUGUAUAAAUAGGUCGCAUGACAUACAUCACUCACAUCAUUAAUGUUCAUGUAUGAAGCUUCUGUUAUUUGGGGGACAUGGAACUGGUGGAUGGCUGAGUCGUUAUGAUGUCUAUUAUAAUGACACUAUAAUUUUAGACAGAGGUACAUUCUUGCUUAUGAGAUUCGUCUCCUCUGCUAAAGGAGCACUCUAAAUCCAAAAAUCCACCUCAGUAAUUUACAAUCUAGUGAGAUGAUAAAAUUGUGAUGUGCUUUAUCAUUUUUCUUGCUGAGCAUUGUUUUCUACGCGUUGUUGCUAAAUUUAUAUUUUCGCAUACUAGUAACUGCGCAGUGGAAGCGCUUACCAAUAAGCAAUGAUGAACCUCCUCCUCCUCGAGCUUAUCACACCAUGACAAGUAUUGGAGCUCGUCAUCUUUUAAUUGGUGGUUUUGAUGGAAAAUCAACCUUCGGUGAUCUUUGGUGGCUGGUUCCUGAAGGUAUCUUUCUCUUAUUUAUACUGAUGUUUUAGUCCAACUUAGCUAUCAUUCUGUGUACACGCAUCAUCAGUUACUUAUUGUUGGAAACUCUUUAGACGAACUAAUCCUGGUGUUGGUCGCAGAUUGUAGGCAAUUUUAGAGACACUUAAUUUCUAGCAUAAUCUUUUUUUUCUUCUUUAUCAAGUUUGUAUUGAAAGUUUUGAAGUUUUACUGAACUGUUUAGCCUUCUGAAAAUGUUGUUAUUCGUUUUUUUCUUUUUCUCUUUUCUCAGAUGAUCCCAUAGCCAAGAGGUCUUCUGUACCUCAACUUAGAAACCCUCCUGAGACUAAAGAGUCAGAGAGAGAUUUGGAUACGGUAACUGUAGUUCCUGCUCAUCAUCUUAUGUGUUUCUCGCCAAUGCAGUUAAAUUAGCUUUUCAACGUGUUUUUAACACCAAGAGUUUGGUCACAGCAGGAAAGAGGACAAGAGGGAUUCACUAUCGCCGACUUGCAAAAGAAAAUGGGAAUCUCUGUUUCUUCAGGGUUACGCCUUCAAAUACCCGAGGAGUUAGAAGAUCAAGAGUUCGUUGAGUUAGGAACCAGAUUGAUUGAGGGAGAUGCAGUUGAUAAUGGAGCCUCCAUGAUUCAGGUGAGUUUUUCCUCUUGUCUAUUUUAGAAUGUGUGAUUGUGUUAUUCUUGUACUGAAAAUGCUUCUCAACGAAUAGAUGGCAGUUGAAGCACUUCGUCAACAUUGGAAAGAGUCCACUCCAGAGACUUUGCAAUUAAAGGAGCUUGGUUCCUUGCUUCGAGAUUAUCAGCGACUGGUUACCCGAAAAUACACGUGAGUUCUUAUCCAUGCCUAACUAUUUCAGACUCAGUUCUUGUUUAUGUAGAUUAUCUUUUGUUUCACUAAAAAUGGUUGUUCUUUGAUUGCGCUUGGAAUCACCACAUGGCAUUAGAAUAACUUAGAUAAAUCUCCUGAGAGUUUAGGAGUCAUAUAGAGUUAAUAUGAAUAUAUCAUUUUUGUGUCUUGAAUAGCCCUCGAGACUCUUUAAUCCGAGCAUAUUGUCAAAACUGAUAAUGUUGUGAAUGCAUUGUUUUGUGCCCCUACUAUUACAUGUUAUGAAAUCUCACAUCUGCUUCUUCCUUUCCUUGACACAUGUUUCUUUUCAUUUGUUGUGGCGGGUUUCUAUCAGAGCACAGAGCAGCUUAACAUCUGCUGAUUUUGGAAAGAAGACGUUUACGUUUUAUCAUAUCAAAAAUUCUUCCGAGGUAUUACUCUGCAUACUUUCCUCCCUCGCCUGAAUAUUUGACACCAAUCAAUCAAAACAUCAGGCUUUCCUCCUGACAUGUCAAGUUUACAUUUUGCUAUUCUCAGUUGCGGAUGGAUGACAUUCCGGAGUUGCUGGAAGAAUACAAAACCCUUGUAAUCUGAUUGAGGAGCUCUGCCAUGAAACUCACAAGGAGAAUACAAAACUCAUCAAGUAGCUGCCAAGAAGAUCACCAAGAUUGCUAUCAGCAUUACCAUUGCAAACCACAAAGCUAAAAAGUCUCAAGAGAAUCACAUCUCUGAUAGACAACUAUGUACAACUUCUUUUUAGCAAGAACAAAAAGAUACAACGUAUAUGUAAGACUUCCAUUAUCUCAACUUAAAUCCAUAUCUAAGCCUCUGCUCUUUUAUUUCUUGUUUGGGCUUUGAAAAUAGAUUGUUUUGCCUUGAAGCCAAUGCGAAAGUAAGGAAAAAAGUAGGCAAACUUCAUCUAUUAGACUUUGAAAUGGAUUACAACAACAACGGUACUCUUGAUAACUUAAACCACAGAGUUUCUGUCUGCAUAGACCCGUAUUGUCUUUUCUCUAUCCCCUAAAACAACUCGAACUCAAGAUGAUCUCCCAUGGCUUUACAUUCAAGAUAUCCAUUACCAUUUCCUUUAGGAGAAGUUGCUUCCGUUGCACCAUUCUCAUAUACAUCCGGCAGCUCAGGCGGAAUGGCGCAGCGGAUGAGAGCCCAGUUCAAUCCUUCAAAGAAUGGAUGCCUCUUGAUCUCUGCAGCUCCUUUCUCCCACCCGAGGCGGCUCCCCGGAUCCUUCAUCACCAACCUUCUGAUCAAAUCCUUUGCCUGGAAGCUCACAAGAGGGCUAUCAGGAAACUUGAGGUUCUGAAACACAAACGUCUCCUCAUUGUCAUAACCUUUGAACGGUGUCUUCCCGUAUAAAAGCUCAUAGAGAAGAACCCCAAACGUCCACCAGUCUACUGCAGCACCGUGACCUUCUCCUUUAAUGAUCUCCGGCGCCAAGUACUCGUGCGUUCCUACAAAAGAGUUUGAUCUUGCUUCAGUUGGUUCAGCCACAAGCUGAGGCAAUGAUCUGAACUGUUGGGUCAGAAGAUCAGGCCUUCUCUGUUUUCUUGGUUUUGAGUUUCUAGCUUGCGUUGACAAGAGCCUAGGGCUGAAACAUGGGACACGGCACGAUGGACUCUAUCUAAAUCACAGGUUCUUCAUCUUCUUUGGAAGCUGAGGAGCUUGAUACAAUAAGUGAAGACGAAGACAAACAGCAGUAUCCAGGCGAUGUGCACCGCAGCUACAGCUGGUAAGAAGUCAUGUUCGAACCCGGAUCCAUCUUUGAGCAACUGUUUUAGUUCCGUGUCUAGGAGACCAGUGUUCUGCACUAUCGAAUCUUGGUCUCCUACUUGAGAUGUGAUGCUUCCAUACAAUGUCCAGCCACUGGCGUUGCCUAGUAAUUAAUAUCAUCUCCACCAUAUCAAUAUUUGCUGCAUCCCCUCCUCCAUAAGAAACAUAAAACAUAAAAGUUAGGUAGCUCUAAAACACUUCUGAUCAUAACAAAAAGUAAGAUCUAUAACACACUUGAUGAUUACGUAAGUUGGUUCGUAAUUUUUACCAAUCUUUGGGAUGAGGAACUGGAGAAAAGAUUCCAAAUAGACCGAGGAAGAAAGACAUGCAGAUUCCGGAGAUUUGAUAGUUUGGUGUCAAGGCCACAAAGCAUCAAGCUUGGUAACAUGUCGUAGUAGUAGAAGUAGAACCAGAAGAACUUGACCACAGUACGGUCGUAUCCUAUCAUUGAGUAAAGGAUUAUAGUAUGUAAACUCUAGUUUGUAUGGUGUCAUACUACAUGAUCUAAUAACUUUGUCUAUAUUACCAAUUUUCCCAAUUAAUUAUUUCUAACAAAAGUAUAAUGUAUACAUAUCAAUGAAUAUAUAUUUUGAAAGUUGAAAAUAAGGGAGAAAUUUUUUUUUACCAAAAAGAAUAAUAAGGGAGAACUAUAGUGAAUGCUUCGAGUGGGCCUAAGCAAACGCAUUAUUGCCUUGCGAAAAAAUCAUUAUCGCCAGAGACUAGAAAAAAACUCCUAUUUUCUUUUUAAUUCAAAAUUAGAACCACAAGAUGACUGUCAUAGACUGUCGAUACUCUUUCAUUAUUUCUUCUUCCAAAGAACGUCGCUAAGCAAGUUGCAGAUCUGUUACAUGUAAGGUAAAUCACGUUCUUGUAUCAUUAUUUGUCUGUUUAACUUGCUCUGAUCUGUCUUUUGGGCUCUGUGGUGGUUGAAUCUGAAUUUAAAAACAAAAAUUCGUUGCAUUGUUACAAAUCUUGUUUUACGAAUUUAAAGCAUUUAAUCAUCAAUGCUUGAAUAAAAGUAAGUUAAGUAAAGUUCCUCUGACAGGUAUCAUGUUUUAUUAGAUCAACCAAGGAUUAUCAUAACCGGUUUUAAAUCUUACUAUACAAGUUUGUACUCAUAUGUUGACGGUGGAACAGGAGAAUAGCGAUGGCUGAGGGAAUUGUAUCGUUUGGAGUGCAGAGACUCUGGGAGCUCUUGGCUCGAGAAUCUGAGAGACUGCAGGGAGUUCAUGAGAAAGUUGAUGAUCUAAAAUGUCAGAUGAGAAUGUUACAGUCGUUGUUGAAAGAUGCAGAUGCGAGGAAACAUGAGAAUGAAGUAGUGAGAAACUUCUUGGAAGAUGUCAAAGACAUUGUUUUUGAUGCUGAAGAUAUAAUUGAAUCUUUUCUUUUGAAAGAAUCUAGCGGUGACGAAAAAGGGAUCAAGAGGCGUGUGAAAAGACUUUCGUGUUUCUUAGUGGAUCGCCGAGAUAUUUCUAUGGACAUUGAAGGCAUAACUAAGAGAAUGUCUAAGGUUAUUGCCCAAAUGCAGAGCUUUGGAAUACAACAUAACGUCUACAGAUCACCGUCUCUACAAGAGAGGCAAAGGGAGAUCCGACAAACAUAUCCUAAGAGGUCUCAAAAGGAUCUUGUGGGGGUGGAACAGAGUGUUAACGAAUUGGUUGGUCAUUUGGUGGAGAAUGAUAGCAUCCAAGUAGUUUCCAUAUCUGGGAUGGGUGGUAUUGGGAAAACCACUCUUGCGAGACAAGUUUUUCAUCAUGACAUUGUUCGAAGUCAUUUUGAUGGAUUCGCAUGGAUCUGUGUUUCCCAAGAUUUUAAGCGGAAGGAUAUUUGGCAGAAGUUAUUGCAAGACCUUAGACCACAUGAUACGGGCAUUGAACAAAUGAAUGAGGGUACACUCCAGGCUAAGAUCUUUCACUUGUUGGAAACAUCUAAAUAUUUAAUUGUCAUGGAUGAUGUAUGGAAAAACAAAGACUGGGAUAUAAUAAAAGACGUUUUCCCCCAAGAAAGAGGUGAGUUCUCUUAUUGUACAUACAUUACUUAAUACUCCCCAUAGCUAUUUCAUAAAUGCAUUUGAGUCCCUGAGAUGAAAGGAAAUACAAUUGCAGGUUGGAAGAUGAUUCUUACUUCACGUGAUGAAGGUGUUGGUUUCCAUGCAAACCCAACAUGUUUUCCCUUUAGACCAAAAACUCUUACUCAUGAAGAAAGUUGGAAGCUAUGUGAGAGCAUAGCAUUCCCUAGAAAAGAGAUAACGGGUACGUUUUUCUAUAAGAAUCAUAUGAAUCCUUAAGGCCAGAAAUCUCUUACGGGCAGUGUUUUUAAAACCGGAUCGGCUAGCGAACCGAAAUUUUUUUAGAUCAUGGGUCAUUGUGGUUCAACCGGGUCUGAACCGUGUUCGAUCGGGUUUAAUUAGAUUAAACUAAAUUUAAUGAUAUUUUAUAAAUAAUAUGCAUAUUCUUAAAAAAAAAUAGAUCAUAUCAAAUAAAAUGUUUAAAUAGCCAUAAUGUGUAGAAAAACUUAAAAAUAACAAUUAAAAUUUAAAAUCAAUAUGAAAAGCAUAAUUAAACUUUAUUCGCAAAUCUUAUCACUCUAAAUCUUUAUCAUCUUAUAAAAAAAAUUUAUAGUAAAAUUUAUAUUUUGAAAUACAAAUUUCACAAACAUAAAGGUUUCAAUUAUUAGAAGUCUUCAAAACAAGUGAUCAUGAAAUAAAAUUUAAACAAAGUGAGAAGUAGACAAAAACAACAUCUUGACGUAUUAAACUUUGUGAAUCUUGUAAUUUAUGAGUUGUAGAGACGACAAAAGAAAAAGACGAAAGACGAUAUUUUAUUAAUCUUUAAUAAAACUUAUUUUUUAUUUAAAAAAGAAGAAAAAUUAAUUAUUUCAUUAACAAAAUUUUGGCUUAUAUACUAACCGUAGUUUGGCCGAUUCAUUGGAUCGCCGGUUCCUAGGGUUUUGACGGUUUGAUAGGGGUUUUUAACUGGUUCAAAUUUAGUUGGGUUUUAGUAUUAACCCAACCCAGAUUAUUUUCGGUUGAUAGUUCAACCCGGUCUGACCGCCAGUUCGGUCCAAGUUUAAAAACAUUGCUUACAGGACAUCUUAUCAAAAAUCUUGUGUAUUAAUUCCUAAAUCCGCAUGACAUAUAUUAUUAUAUAUACCUUUGAGAAACAAUAUACCAUUUGAUUUAUUUCAUAUGUCAUCACCAAUGUUUUAAAAACCAGAUCAGACAUUGACUCGACAUUGUACAUGGGUAAAUGGUCGGCUCGGUCCAACCCGGUUCAAGCGGCUUUUAAAUUUUAAUCUAAUUUUAAAUUAAGUAACUAUAUAUAUGUAUAAUCAAUUUAAUUAUAUAAACCUUUCUAUCGUUGUUAAUAUAAAAAAUCAUAUGAAAAUAAAAUGCAACUUCAAAAAUAAUAUAAAAUUAUAGUGAAAGUAAUUUAUUUAGUUAAAUAUUAAAAACAAUAUGAUUUUGUUUUGAAAUCUUUUUUAAAAUUGCAAAUUUUAUUUUUAAACUUGAAUUUGAGAAAACCGGAUUUUAAUAUCGAACCAAAUCACCGGUUUUAACGAGUUUGACAAGUUUUUUGAUAAGGUUUACCAGUUUAAUUCAAAUUUGGUUUUAACACAACUAGGAACCGGCUAAAAGAACGAGUCACGGUCCAAACAGACGGUCCGGUUUUCAAAACGUUGGUCAUCACCAUAAUGACUCUUUAAUUUCUUAGAGCAAUAAGUUAUAAUCUAAACAUAUAAUCUAAUUCUCAUUAGACUAACUAUAAAAUUAAUUAUUAAAAUACAAAACAUAUUAAUUAUCCCUUCUUUGCUUAACACGUGUUAUUAUUUUAUUUAUUUAAAGAAAAUAAAUUUACGUUUUAAUAUUAUUAUAUUUAUAUUUUAAAUUCAUCAGUUUAGAAAAGAGUGAAAUCAUAACUUUUUGUAAUUUUGUUUCAUUUGAUUUGGUUAAUUUAUUUUAAUUUCAAUAGAAGAUAAUUAUGUUUUAUAUAAAUAUGAGUUUAUUUAUAUUUUUUUAGUGAUUAUUUAUUUUAAAUAUGUUUUUUAUCCUUUAAGUGUAUAAAUUUUAAUAAAUUUUGAAUUUCUAUUUAAAUGUAUAGCUAAAAUAUGUUAAAAUCGUAAACUAAAUUUGUUAAUUAAUAAAAUAAACUAAUAGAUCCUAAUAAAAUUUGAAACAUUUAAUCAUAAAAAAUUGAUUAGCAUUGCUUUAGUUUUGUAUUUGUUAAUGCACACUUACAAUUUAUUUUAGUAGGAAAACAAUAUAUAUUUAUAGAAAUAUGAUUAAUAAUUUAAAAAUUAAAAUGUAAUUAUAUUUAGUUUAUUUUUUUAUAAAUAUGAUAUAUAUAUUUUUAUUAUAUUUUAAUGAUGAUAUAUGAAUUAUUGAUUAUUAAUGUAUUUAAAGUCCUGUCAAAAUAAAAAUUUACACAAAAAUGUUAACUUUUAAAUAGUGAUAUAAAAAUUAUUAGUUACUACCAUAUUUAAAAUUUCUUACUAAAAAUAUAAAUUUAUAAAAAUUAUUAUUUAUUACCAUAUUUAUAAAUAUUUACAGAAAUAUAUUUUUAUAUAAUAAAAUUUUACAUAUCAAAAAAAAAAAUUGAUCUCAUAUCACUAUUUUCUAAAGACAGGUUAUCUUUUUUUUGUGAGAAUGUAUGUUGUGAUGACAUGUACAAACCACUUUGCGAAAAUGUUUAGGGAUAUUAGAUUUUGAAUGAUAAAUAUUUGAUAAAUUUGACCCAAAAAAAGAUUUGAUAACAAUUUGUGUAUCUUCUAUCAUUUUUAUUUAAUUUUAUAUUAUUAAAGUAAAUUAGACAAUCUCAUUAAUCAUAUAAUAAAAUUAGAUUUUUUGUAUAUGAUAUAUUUUGAUUUUUUAAAUGACUAUAAAUUACUUAAAUUGUUAAAAAAUUGUUGUCAUCAGUGGUUUAAUUUUGUUUGUUAUAACAAGAUACAAAUGAUCAAAAAAUGGGUAUGAAGUCUCAAUUAAUAGAACUUUAGAUUAAAAUAUAUAUAUCUAUUUUAAUACUGUUUGAAUUAAACUAUCUAUAUUUUUUUCUGAACAUUUGAAAAGACUAGAGACAUUAUUUCGAGGCUCUAAUCUUAUAACAUGUGUUACUGUUUUCAGAAUUUAUUGUUGAUGAAGAACUAGAAGCCAUGGGUAAGAAAAUGGUCACACAUUGUGGAGGACUACCAUUAGCCGUUAAAGUGUUGGGAGGCUUGUUAGCUAAUAAAAACAUGGUUGAAGAGUGGAAAAGAGUAGAUGAGAAUAUUCAAACUCAGAUAGUUCGCAUAGAUGACAAAAGUCAAGAUUCUGUUUACCGAGUAUUGUCUAUGAGCUAUGAAGAUUUGCCAAUGCAAUUAAAGCAUUGCUUCCUCUACCUAGCUCAUUUUCCCGAAGAUUACAAGAUACAAGUGAAGAGAUUGUAUUAUUACUGGGAAGCAGAAGGAAUAAUAACGUCAAGUGGCGAUGGAGAAACCACUAGGAAAAUUGGAGAAGACUACAUAGACGAGCUAGUAAGGAGAAAUAUGGUUAUUGGAGUAAAAGAGGAAUUGAGUUGCAGUUGGGAGUAUUGUCAAAUGCAUGACAUGAUGAGAGAAGUAUGUUUAUAUAAAGCCAAAGAAGAGAACUUUCUUCAGUUUAUCAAAGUCCCUACUACUUCCACCUCCACCAUCAAUGCUCAUACUCCUACCGGAUCUCGAAGACUCGCAGUACACGGUGGUGGUAAUGCAUUUGAUAUGCUGGGAAGUAAAAACAAUCAAAAAGCUAGAUCUGUUUUGGGGUUUGGACUCGACAGCAACUUGUGGAAGCAGUCAGCUCAAGGACUCAGAAAUUUACAAUUACUUAGGGUCUUAGAUCUGAGUUUAGAUUAUAAAAACGACUCUAAAGGAGGGAGAAUACCUUCGAGCAUUGGAAAACUCAUUCAUUUGAGAUAUUUGAGCUUAGCCAUAGGUUGGGCAACUCAUGUACCUUCUUCUUUACGGAAUCUAAAGCUUCUAAUCUAUUUGAAACUUAAGUCCUACGGAAGUGUUCAUCUGCCAAGUAUCUUUAACGAGAUGGUAGAGUUGAGGUUCCUGCUGCUUCCCUUUUUGGUUGACGAUAAAACAAAGUUGGAAUUGGGUAAUCUAGUGAACCUGGAGUACUUGAGCGGCUUCCGAUCAGAAAACGGUAGCAUCACAGACUUACUCCGAAUGAAAAAGCUCAGGAUUCUCCACAUAAAACUCAAAGGCAGGUAUACUUCUGAAACUCUAGCUUCAUCUCUCUGUGAAUUAAGAAACCUGGAGGAGCUUAGCUUGAUCGAUGAGAAGCUUAGCUUGAUCGAUGAGAAGCUUAGAUUGAUCGAAGAGAACAACGAAUCCGAUGGGGCUUAUGAUGUGGAUUUCGUUUGGAAUUUCAUUCAUCUAAGGCGUUUAGCGCUGGGCAUACAUGUGACAAGGCUUCCUGAUCACUCUCGAUUUCCUCCCAACCUUGCACACAUAUUUCUAAGUGACUGUAAAAUGGAGGAGGAUCCACUGCAGAUUCUGCAAAAGUUGCUUCAUUUAAAGUCGGUUGUAUUACAUCUAAGGUCUUUCGUGGGGAGGAAGAUGGUGUGUUCAAAAGGUGGGUUCCCUCAAUUAUGUAAGCUAGAAAUAUGGAACCUAUACGACUUGGAAGAGUGGAUAGUCGAAGAAGGAUCGAUGCCAUGUCUUCGUACCUUGUCUUUAUGGAAUUGUAAAAAGUUGAAGGAGCUACCGGAAGGGCUCAAGUAUAUCACUUCUUUAAAGGAGCUGGAAAUCACACACGAGAACAAGGAGUGGAAGACGAAACUCGUACCAGGUGGGGGAAGUUACCACAAAGUCCAACACAUUCCCAGUGUUCAAUUACACUAUCGUGGCAACGAAUAAGGAGAAUAAAACCGUCUCAGGUAUAUAUUUUUUUGUGUAUAAUGUCAAAAUUGUUCAUUUUGUUGGGUAUAUAUCCUUCUUGAAGUUUAGUGUGAAAAUCUCAACUAUCUGUUAUUCGGUUUUCAGGUGAACCUACUCAGGAUCAGUACCCACCACUAUCGAUUGUGUGAUAUGAUAAUAAGUCGUUUUUGUUGUAUGAAGUUUACAUAUCUUGUUUGUGAUAUAUUCCGUUUAUCUAUUUGCAUGUUCAUUCACUGUAAUGCUAAGUUUGGAAAUACAUUUGUAUGUUGAACCAUAUCUUAUUCGAUGUUCUCCGUUGUGUGUGCUUAGUUGACUUGUAUAGUUACCGAACCGAACCUGAGUUUUCCAAAUUUGUCUUUUACUACCAAACCGGACAAUAUUGAUGGUUUAAAAACAAAACUCGGUCUGGAUUAUAAUAAAAUCAGAUCAUGAGAGACUACCAAACAAGAGAGUUCUUUCGAUCUCUGCAAAUUUGUUUUUGACUCUAAUUGAGAGGAGAAGAAGUGUACUAGUUGAAGCGAAUCCAAAACGCUGUGAUCCGUGCGUUUUCAGACAUCAAUCGCCAAACGUAUGCAUCAUUGGGUUAGAGCUUCCUCUUCCGAUUUCACCGGAACUCCUCCACAGCCUAGGAGGUAAAUUAAUUACUUCUUCUCCAUUCAAUUUUCGAUUUUAAUUUCAGCUGAUUAUUUUUAUUGUUCAUCAGUGGACAUACAGCUGUCAAUGUCGGAAAAUCCAUGGUCGUGGUGUUCGGCGGUCUCGUCGACAAAAAGUUCCUCAACGACAUCAUUGUUUAUGACAUUGGUAAUAUCAUACUUUAGGUAGAAAGAUGCUUUCUUUCUCACGAGUUACGUUCUUGGCUUGCUCUGCUUGUAAUGACUAUUGUCUCUAGUAGUUUAUUUGAUAGAACGAUGCUUACAUCAAAGAUAGUUACUUUGCCAAAAAAAAAAAAAACUAUAGAAAGCUGAAAACUUCAAGAUGAGAUUAUUCGAUUCAGUGUUGUUGAAGAGGAAUCAGAUGGAUACUCUCUUUUCUUAUUUUGCUAGUUUUGUUUCUGAGCUUCUUUUGUCCCCUCCUUGGCCUUGUUUUAAGUAUCAUAUGUUCAGCUUUUUUAAUCAUGUGAUAAUUGGUGGUCUUAUGAUUUGCUUCUUCUUUAAUCCUGUCGACUAGAAAACAAACUCUGGUUUGAGCCAGAAUGUACUGGCAGCGUUUCUGAAGGAAAAGUUGGCCCUACACCUCGCGCGUUUCAUGUUGCCAUCACUAUUGAUUGCCAUAUGUUCAUCUUUGGUGGACGUUCUGGUGGCAAGAGGUACGCACUUCUAUAUAUUUUCUAGUUAUAAGCGUUUUUACAUAAGAGCUCAUUUCUAUAAAUCAAUUACAGGUUGGGUGACUUCUGGGUUCUAGAUACUGGUAAGUGUGCCUCGGAGUUUUAAUUUCUCUGCUUUGGCACUUCUAUGAGACACCUAUUAAUGACAUUUUCUGCAGAUAUAUGGCAGUGGUCUGAGCUAACCAGCUUUGGCGACUUACCUACGCCUCGUGAUUUUUCUGCUGCCGCUGCUAUUGGCAACCAGAAAAUCGUGUUGUGAGUAUCAUAAAUUUUAGACGUUCCAUCAGGUUGUUGCAUGCAUUGGCUUAGCCUAUGAUCAUUGGCAGGUGUGGCGGCUGGGAUGGUAAAAAAUGGCUGUCAGAUGUGUAUGUUAUGGACACAAGUAAAACUUUAUCUCUCUCCUCUACUUCAGUUUUGUACUAGACUGAUUUUAGUAUCUGAUAAUGUCAGCUUUCUUGGUAUCUGUUAGUGUCCCUUGAAUGGAUGGAGCUGUCGGUUUCGGGGUCGUUGCCACCUCCUAGAUGUGGUCAUACAGCCACCAUGGUUGAGAAACGUUUACUUGUUUUUGGUGGCCGAGGUAUAACACCUUGAACCUAAACUUUGUAGCUUCUUGCUCUUGACUUAUCACCAUUCUCUUAAAAAAGUUAAGGUGUUUGCAUAUUAAACCAACUUGGCGGACUCAUAUGAUAGAUAAAAGUAAAAGACCGAAAAUUUAUUUACUGUUCCACCUUUUCAUUCAUCAAACAUGUUAAGGAUGCUGAUGUGUUUGGUUCCACGAAUUACACAUCCAAAUUCAAUAUAAGUCCAUAAAAUGCAAAUAAAGAAAACAAACAAAUUAGAGGAGGGGGGGAACUUGAGUGAAAUAUGAAUCAAAUAUUAAUAAAUAGCAAUUUAUGCAUCGUUGUAAGUUAAUAACUUCCAGUCAUUAAUGAAUUGUCCUGAACGGGAUGGUAUAUGUAAUGUAGAAACCCUCUUCCAAUCUUAAGGAUUCAUACUUUUAAGCAAAUCCACUAGUUUGAUAGUUCUUUGGUUCUGACAUCUGAGGUAUAGGUCAUGAUCACAAUUAUUUUUUGCUUGAUCUGAUAACAACUAAGCUAAAACUAUGGUGUGUGAUAUGUUUAUCUUUGACAGGAGGCGGUGGCCCUAUCAUGGGUGAUCUGUGGGCUUUGAAGGGUUUAAUAGAUGAAGGUACAUCCUUAAUUAAAUUACUUCAAAAUUGCAUUAUAUGUAAUGUUCUGGUUGCUGAUCUUAUUGUGGUUAACCUUUGUUGUGGAAGAAAGAACGUGAAACACCUGGAUGGACGCAACUAAAGCUUCCUGGCCAAGCAUCAUCAGCUCGAUGUGGUCACACUGUCACAUCCGGAGGACAUUAUGUAUGUCUUUUUCAGCUCCUGUUUGUUCUUUUGUGUAAGGAUAGCUUCGCAUGACAUACAUCACUCACAUCAUUAAUUUUCAUGUAUGCAGCUUCUGUUAUUUGGGGGACAUGGAACUGGUGGAUGGCUGAGUCGUUAUGAUGUCUAUUAUAAUGACACUAUAAUUUUAGACAGAGGUAAAUUCUUGCUUAUGAGAUUCGUCUCCUCUGCUAAAGGAGCACUCUAAAUCCAAAAAUCCACCUCAGUAAUUUACAAUCUAGUGAGAUGAUAAAAUUGUGAUGUGCUUUAUCAUUUUUCUUGCUGAGCAUUGCUGUCUACGCGUUGUUGCUAAAUUUAUAUUUUCACAUACUAGUAACUGCACAGUGGAAGCGCUUACCAAUAAACAAUGAUGAACCUCCUCCUCCUCGAGCUUACCAUACCAUGACAAGUAUUGGAGCUCGUCAUCUUUUAAUUGGUGGUUUUGAUGGAAAAUCAACCUUCGGUGAUCUUUGGUGGCUAGUUCCUGAAGGUAUCUUACUCUUAUUUGUACUGAAUGUUUCUUAUCGUUGGAAAGUCUUUAGACGAACUAAUCUUGGUGUUGAUCACAGUUUGUAUUAAAAGUUUUGAAGGUUUACACAUCUGAUUGAAUUUAGUAUACUGUUUAGCCUUCUAAAAAUUAAAGAGAAAAAUGGACGUGGAACUCUAGAUAGGGAUCUCACUCAAUACUUGUGGGCUUCAAAUACCCGAGGAGUCAGAAGAUGAAGAGUUCGUUGAGUUAGGAACCAGAUUGAUUGAAGGAGAUGUAAUUGAUAAUCGAGCCUCCAUGAUGCAGGUUAAUUUUUCCUCUUGUCUUUUUCAGGAUGUGUGAUUGUGUUAUUCUUGUACUGAAAAUGCUUCUCAACGAAUAGAUGGCAGCUGAAGCACUUCGUCAACAUUGGAAAGAGUCCACUCCUGAGACUUUGCAGUUAAAAGAGCUUAAUGCCUUGCUUCGAGAUUAUCAGCGACUUGUUUCCCGAAAAUACACGUGAGUUCUUACAUUAUCUUGUUUAUGUAGAUUAUCUUUUAUUUCAAUAAAAAUGGUUGUUCUUUGAUUGCGCUUGGAAUGGCAUUAGAAUAACUUAGAUAAAUCUCCUGAGAGUUUAGGAGUGUUAUAUAGAGUUAAUAUCAAUAUCAUUUUUUGUGUCUUGAAUAGCCCUUGAGACUUUUUAAUCCAAGAAUUGCCAAAACUGAUUCAUUUCUUAAUGUUGUGCAGUCCUCACAUAAAAGUUGAUUGUAAAUGCAUCGCUUUGUACCCCUUUGAAAAGUAUUAAACAUCAUGAAAUUUCACAUUUGAUUCUUCCUUUCCGUCACACAUGUUUGUUUUCGUUGUUGUGGCGUGAGUCUCAGAGCACAGAGCAGCUUAACAUCUACUGAUUUUGGCCUCCCCGGAAAGCAGACGUUUACGUUUUAUCAUAUCAAAACUUCUUCCGAGGUAAUACCACAUACUUUCCUCCUGUUAUGAGCUCUCUUGAACAUUUGACAGCAAUCAAUCAACACAUCAGGCUCUUGGCACAUGCUCUGACAUGUCAAUUUAACAUUUUGUUAUUCUCAGUUACGGAUGGAUGACAUCCCGAAGUUGCUGGAAGAAUACAAAACCCUUGUAAUCUGAUUGAGGAGCUCUGCCAUGAAACUCACAAGGAGAAUACAAAACUCAUGAAGUAGCUGCCAAGAAGAUCACCAAUAUUGCUAUCAGCACUACCAUUGCAAACAACAAAACUAAAAAAAGUCUCAACAGAAUCAUAUAUCUGAUAGACAACAAGACAUGUACAACUUCUUUUUAGUCAAGAACAAAAACAUGUACCCAUAUGUAAGAUUUUCCAUUAUCUCCACUUAAUCCGUAUCUCAGCGUCUGCUCUUUUUUUUUCUUGUUUAGCCUCUUGCAUUUUACUUUGAAAAUAGAUUGAUUUGCCUUGAAGCUAAUGUUCGAACCCCGAUCCAUCUUUGAGCAACUGUUUUAGUUCCGUGUCUAGGAGACCAGUGUUCUGCACUAUCGCAUCUUGGUCUCCUACUUGAGAUGUGAUGCUUCCAUACAAUGUCCAGCCACUGGCGUUGCCUAGUAAUUAAUAUCAUCUCCACCAUAUCACUAUUUGCUGCAUCCCCUCCUCCAUAAGAAACAUAAAACAUAAAAGUUAGGUAGCUCUAAAACAUUUCUGAUCAUAACAAAAAGUAAGAUCUAAACCACACUUGAUGAUUACGUAAGUUGGUUCGUAAUUUUUACCAAUCUUUGGUAUGAGGAACUGGAGAAAAGAUUCCAAAUAGACUGAGGAAGAAAGACAUGCAGAUUCCGGAGAUUUGAUAGGUUGGUGUCAAGGCCACAAAGCAUCAAGCUUUGUUAACAUGUAGUAGUAGUAGAACCAGAAGAACUUGACCACAGUACGGCCGUAUCCUAUCAUUGAGUAAAGGAUUAUAGUAUGUAAACUCUAGUUUGUAUGGUGUCAUACUACAUGAUCUAAUAACUUUGUCUAUAUUACCAAUUUUCCCAAUUAAUUAUUUCUAACGAAAAUAUAAUGUAAAUAUCAAUGAAUAUAUUUUGAAAGUUGAAAAUGAGGAAGAAAAUUUUUUUUACCAAAAAGAAUAAUAAGGGAGAAGUAUAGUGAAUGUUUCGAGUGGGGCCUAAAGCAAAUGCAUUAUUGCCUUGCGAAAAAAUCAUUAUCGCCAGAGACUAGAAAAAAACUCCUAUUUUCUUUUCUAAUUCAAAAUUAGAACCACAAGAUGACUGUCAUAGACUGUCGAUACUCUUUCAUUAUUUCUUCUUCCAAAGAACGUCGCUAAGCAAGUUGCAGAUCUGUUACAUGUAAGGUAAAUCACGUUCUUGUAUCAUUAUUUGUCUGUUUAACUUGCUCUGAAUCUGAAUUUAAAAACAAAAAUUCGUUGCAUUGUUACAAAUCUUGUUUUACGAAUUUAAAGCAUUUAAUCAUCAAUGCUUGAAUAAAAGUAAGUUAAGUAAAGUUCCUCUGACAGGUAUCAUGUUUUAUUAGAUCAACCAAGGAUUAUCAUAACCGGUUUUAAAUCUUACUAUACAAGUUUGUACUCAUAUGUUGACGGUGGAACAGGAGAAUAGCGAUGGCUGAGGGAAUUGUAUCGUUUGGAGUGCAGAGACUCUGGGAGCUCUUGGCUCGAGAAUCUGAGAGACUGCAGGGAGUUCAUGAGAAAGUUGAUGAUCUAAAAUGUCAGAUGAGAAUGUUACAGUCGUUGUUGAAAGAUGCAGAUGCCAAGAAACAUGGGAGUGAAGUAGUGAGAAACUUCUUGGAAGAUGUCAAAGACAUUGUUUUUGAUGCUGAAGAUAUAAUUGAAUCCUUUCUUUUGAAAGAAUUGAGUGGAAACCAAAAAGGGAUCAAGAGGCAUCUGAAAAGACUUUCUUGUUUCUUAGUGGAUCGCCGAAAUAUUUCUAUGGACAUUGAAGGCAUAACUAAGAGAAUGUCCAAGCUUGUCGAGCAAAUGCAGAGCUUUGGAAUACAACAGAUCGUCUACAGAUCACCGUCUCUACAAGAGAGACAGAGGGAAAUCCAACAAACAUAUCCUGAGAAAUCUCAAAAGGAUCUUGUGGCCGUGGAACAGAGUGUUAAGGAACUGGUUGGUCAGUUGGUGGAGAAUGAUCGCAUCCAAGUAGUUUCCAUAUCCGGGAUGGGUGGUAUUGGAAAAACCACUCUUGCGAGACAAGUCUUUCAUCAUGACAUUGUUCGAAGUCAUUUUGAUGGAUUCGCAUGGGUCUGCGUUUCUCAAUAUUUUAAGAAGAAGGAUAUUUGGCAAAAGUUAUUGCAAGAGCUUAGACCACAUGAUACGAGCAUCGCACAAAUGAGUGAGGGUACACUCCAUGCUGAGAUCUUUCACUUGUUGGAAAGAUCUAAAUACUUAAUUGUCAUGGAUGAUGUAUGGAAAAACGAAGACUGGGAUGUAAUAAAACAUGUUUUUCCCCAAGAAAGAGGUGAGCUCUCUAAUUGUACAUACAUUACUUAAGUACUCCCCAUAGCUAUUUCAUAAAUGCCUUUUGAAAUACAAUUGCAGGUUGGAAGAUGAUUCUUACUUCACGCGAUGAAGGUGUUGGUUUCCAUGCAGAUCCAACAUGUUUUCCCUUUAGACCAAAAAUCCUUACUCCUGAAGAAAGUUGGAUGCUAUGUGAGAGCAUAGCAUUCCCUAGAAGAGAGAUAACGGGUACGUCCAUUUGUCCAUGUUUAUAACCGAGUCCAUUAAAGACCCUUUUUGUGUGUGGACAAACAUUGAUCAUGUUAUUAAGAACCGAGUCCAUUAAAGACCAAACCUAUUAACAUCAGUGUUAACAUGACUUAUCCAUGGAAUCCAUUAGAGACCAUAUAAGUAAACCUACUACAAAAGACAAACCUACAAUAUAUAAGUUCUGAAUUUCAAAUCUAUUAAAGACCACAGCUUCAUAAGUAGGAUACAUAACAUAAAAAAUACUUGUAAAUUCACAUAUUGUAGUUUUAGUUUUAAUUUUAAUUUACGUAUUAAUGUUAACUAGAUUUUUGACAAAAAUUAUAACUUUAUACAUAUUUCAUAUGUUUUUAAGUUUUGUGCAUAAUUUAUAUUUAAUUUGUGUAUCUAAUUUAUUUUUAUGUUAGUAACUAACAUCUAAUAUAAGAUGAACUUAUAAUAUUUUAUUUUAAUGUACAUUAAUUUAUAAUCAUUUACAUUUUACAGAAUUACAUACAUUCAUAUAUAGAGUUUAUUAGUUUUUUUUUAUAAAAAUUAUAUGAAUACUAUUAUAUGAUAAUGAAAAUAUAAUUAUCUGUUUAUUUUUCCCAAGUUUUAAUUUAUGUUUCUAUAAUUUAACACUAAAACGAAGUAAUCACAUAUAUCAUAUUAGUUAAAAUUUGUUUAAUAUUCUUAUAAUACUUUAUGAUUUUAUAUGUAUGUUACAACAAAAAAAUGAUUUUAUAUGUUUACUCAACCAUCUCAUACUAAAUAACCUUUGUAUAUUGAUAAAAUAAUCCGUAAAAAUUACACAUAAAUAUAUGAACCAUAACCCAAUAUUUAUAUAAGUAGGUUUAGUGCUGGUUUUUAGAAUUAACGCAGAAUAUUCUUUAUAGAUUUCAAUCGUGUAAAAUUACGAAAUUUAGAAUAUUUUGAGGAUGCCAGAAUUAUCAAAAUUUAAAAUAUUAAGAUUGAUAUCAUUGAUGUCAAAAAUAUACCAUUUAGCUAGGUCUAAAUUUUUUAUAAGAAAUUGCAUUCAAAGUUUUUGUUUUCAAACGUAAAUAUCUAAGUUUUGAAAUAUUUAAGUCAUUUUCAUUUGAAUGAGUAAAUUUUGACCUACUAAGAUUUAUAAAUGUGAUUUUCUAGAUUGUAAGUUAUUUAGUAAAUAUUAAAAAUACAAAAAAUAUAUUCUCAAAACUGUUAAAGUUUUGUUAUGCUUCCAUAAUUUCAGCUUAUCAAAUAUCUAAUCUAUUAAAAGAAAAGUACCAUUUUUAUCUACUACAAAAUUGUCAUACUAGAAGUCUAGUUCCAUAUAUUUUAUUGUUUACUUAAUGUAUAACAUUUCUAAAUAAUUAUAAGGAUAUUAAUAACAAAUCUAUUUUAACUAUAAAUUUAAAUUUUAGUUUUAGGAAUAACAAAAUCUGUAGAGAAAAAAUCUAACAAAAUCUUUUUAAAAUUUUAAAUAUUAUUUUAAUUAAUGCACUGAUUAAUUUCGUAAUUAGUAGUAUAAUAUUAUUAUAAAUUAAUUUUAAUCAAAAUUUUAUUAUAAACAAAAUAAUGAAAUUAUAUGCUAAUUUUAUAAUUUUUAUUAGUAUAUUCUACAUUAUAUUAAAAUAGAAUUAAUUAAUGAAUUACAUAUUAACAUUAUGUUUUUGUACAAACAUAUUAAAAUUAUGUUGAAUUGGUAAACCAAUAUAUUUUGAAAAAUACUUUCAUUAGAUAAAUAAAUAAAAUGUCAUUCACGCUUAAAGUGACUAAAAUAUCAUUCACAUUUUAAAAUGAUUAAUAUUUAUAAAUUAUGUAAUAAUUUUUACAAAAAUUAAAAUUGUUAACAUAUGUUAAAUUUUAAUAUUUAGAACUAUAUAUCAUCUAUUAAGUUAUUUUUAAAAUGACAGCAAUAUAUUAUCAUAAAUGAUUAUAUACAAAAUAAUAUAAAAUUUUAUAUUUAUAAAUGAAAUGUUACCCACACGGGUGUGCGGGUUACAAUCUAGUUUGAAUUAUAGCAAAUAACUAUGUAUAUGAACAAUACCAAUAAAUUUGAAUGUUAUAAAUUAAAAUAGGUUUGCUAGUAGGCAAUUGAGAAUUUGAACAAAUUCCAUAUUUAUACUAAAAUCUUUUAUGUAGUUUGGAAAAUCAUAAUAAUACUAAAUAUAAUAGUCUUCUGAAUGAUUUAUCAAGUAUAUUCAAUAUUAUAUACUACAAAUAUGUAUAGUUUUACAUCAUGUAUUUUAUAAUUUUAGAAUAAUAUAAAUAUUCUUCUUUGUUAAGUUAGAUGAAUCAUGGGAGGAUGUUUAGCAAUUAAGUAGGAAACUAGAUUAAGAUCCACGCAAAUGAAUAUUAUAUAUAAAAAUAAAUUUUAUUUAUUAUUAUUUAUUUGUAUUCAUUUAUGUAUUAUGUACAUAAUUAAAUUAGAGUAAAUACAUAAAUCAAAACAUUACAUCUUGUUUAUUUACGAUAUUUUUUGGUAAAUAAAUCAAAACAAUUAUAUUCAUACGAUUUAUGAUCAUUUAUAUCUUGUUAUUACCAAAACAAGUUAAACCAUUAAUUACAAAAUUUUAGUGUAAGACAUUUAAUAUUUUUAGUAAUUUAUAGUCGUUUUAAAAAUUCAAAAUAUAACAUAUAAAAAACAUUUUAUUAUAUGGUUGAUGUGGUUGUUUAAUAUAUUUUAAUAAUAUAAAAUUAAACCAAAAAAAGCUAAGAUACAAAAAUUACUAUCAAAUAUUUAUAUUCAUAAUCAUUAAUUAUCAAUUUAAAAGUUAGUUUAAUAAAAAAUAUAAUAUAAAUUAAGAUGGACCGACCUAUUUCUCUAAGAAUUCUGAAUUUCAUUCUUAUGGUGACACGUGGCUACAAAACAAUGUUGUAAUGUUUCUCAAUUAAUAUAUAAGGGAUAUAGUUAAAAUAUUUCUUUUAAUAAAUUUAUUUUAAAAAAAAUAGCUAGUGGCAUGGUAUUGUAAUUAUCAUUGAAAACUAAAGGCAUAAUCUUAUUAGAAAUUCCGGUUUAAUAGUAUAAAUUUCAGUUUUAAGUUUAAUUUCCAUUAUUUUUAACUUGCCAAGGAACCCACGCGAUAACGCGUGGAAACUUAUUUUUAUAAAUAAAUAUAUGAUAUUAUAAUUUAUAUAUUGUAUAAAAAAUAAUUUUAUUAAAAGGAUUCCCAUGUCAAAACGUAGAACAUAUGUGUUUAUAUUUACUUAUUGAUAAUAUUAAAAAUGUAUAUUCUAUAAUUUUAAAUUACAACUAAAAUACAAAUAUAUCAAUCCUAAUAAAAUUAUACAUUUUUUUAUUAUUUUAGGUAAGUUACUCUAAAAUUUUAAAUUAUAUCAAUUUAUAAUAAAUAAAUAAAAUCUCUUUUUAAACAAAAAAAAUCUUUUCAAAUAAAAAAUGUAUCUUUUACGUUAGACGGUUGUGUUAUCAACGAAAAGUACGAACGACUCAUAACCUAAAAGGUACAAACACGUCUUAAACUAAGUGAUACAAACAUGAUGUGAUUCAAGAAGUAUGAACUUGGUCCAUGGGGUGGACGAAUGUACCUUGACCGAAGGUAUGAAUGUGUCAUUACCAAAAAGUGUAAAUGGUGUGAACGAAAUGGUGUAAAUUGAAAUUGAGAUCCAUAAGACAAAAAUUUUGGGCAUGGGUAAAAACAUGCAAAAUCUAAGAAAUAUUAAGAAAAUGAUAAACUCUAAUUUGGAUAGACUAUUUAUGUUGUCGAGAAAAGGUCAUACUCUUAUAUCAUCAGCACCAUGGUUGACCAUAAGACAAAAUAGUUUCCGGAUGGGUAAAAACAGGUAAAAUCUAAGAAAUAUUAAAAAAAAAGAUAUAUUAUAAUCUGGAUAGACUUUUUAUGUUGUCGAGAAAAGGUCAUACUCUAUAUCACCAGCACCAUGGUUGACCUUUAACAUUCUUUCAGUGAUGUCUCGUUCGCACUUUUUCAGUCACGAUCCAUUCUUACCUCUUCGGUCAUGAUUCAUUGACACUCCUUUGGAUACGACUCGUUUGCACCCUUUCAUUCACGAUCCAUUCACGUUCUUUCAGUUACGAUCCGUUCACACUCAUACGGUUAUGAUCCGUUUACUCCUUUUGGUCAUGACACGUUUGCACUUUUUUGUCACAACCCAUUUGCAAUCUUUCGGUCACGACCAUUUGCACCCUUUGGUCACAACCCGUUUGCAAUUUUUUGGCCACGAUUCAUUUGCAAUCUUUCGGUCACGACCAUUUGCAAUCUUUCAAACACGACCAUUUGCACCCUUUCGAUCAUAACCCAUUUGCACGUUUUCGGUCAUAACUCAUUUGCAUGCUUUCGGUCAUAACCCAUUUGUACCCUUUUUGUCAUGGUCAAGAUCCAUUCGCAUCCUUUCGGUCAUGAUUAAUUUCACAUCCUUUCGGUCAAGAACCGUUCGCACGCUUUCAUUUAUGACAGUUCAGAGAGUUUCGGUCACGGUCCUUUUGUACAUUUUCGGUCAUAAUACAUUCACACAUUUUCAGUCACAACACUUUCGCACCCCUUGGAUCAUGAUACAUUUGUAUCUCUUGGAUCAUAGCAUGUUCAUACCUCUUAGAUUAUGAUCCGUUCAUAUCUCUUAAAUUACAAAACAUUUAUACCUCUCUGUUGAUGACACUAUAUAAAUAUUUAUAAUUUUUAAUCAGUGUUAAUAUGAAAGUAAACUUAUAUGGAAUUGUUUUGCAUUUAUUAGUAUUGAGAUGAAAAUUUAUGUGUUUGUUUUUGGUUUUUACUUUACUCAUAUCUAUAUAUUAAUACUUCAUAAAUAUUAGUAUUUGUUUUAAAUAGACUUUUUAUGUUGGCCAAAAAAGAUCAUAUUAUUAUAUCACCAACAUCAUGGUUGACCUUUAGCAAUCUCUUGGUGAUGACUCGUUCGCACCAUUUAAGUCAAGACCCAUUCACACUCUUUCGGUAACAAAUCGUUCACACCCUUUUUUUGUCAUGACCCGUUUACACUUUUUCGGUCACAACCCAUUCGCAAUCUUUCGAUCACGACCAUUUGCACCCUUUGAUCACGACCUGUUUGCAAUUUUUCGGUCACAAUCCAUUUGUAACCUUUCGGUCACGAUCAUUUGCACCCUUUCGGUCAUAACCCAUUUGCACCAUUUUGGUCAUAGUCAAGAUCUGUUCUCACCCUUUCAGUCAAGAUUAAUUUCACAUCCUUUCGGUCUAGAUCCAUUCACACUUUUUCAUUUAUGAUCAUUGGCAGCCUUUCGGUUACGACCAUUUUGUAUAUUUUCGGUCAAAAAACAUUCACAUCCUUUCAGUUACAAAACGUUCAUACUCCUUGGAUCAUGAUAUGUUUGUACCUCUUGGAUCACAACACGUUAUACCUCUUAGAUUAUGAUGCGUUCAUAUCCUUAAAUCACAACACAUUUGUACCUCUUCGUUGAUGACACCACGUAAAUAUUUAUCAUUUUUUUAAUCAUUGUUAAUAUGAAAAUUGUGUCUCUUAAGUUUUUUUAUGAAAAGUUAUUUUUAUUAGUAAUGAAAUGAAAAUUUAUGUCUUUUUGUUUUUACUUUAUUCAUAUAUAUGAAUAGUCACAUCUUUCUAUAUAAAGGUGGUUAUUUUGAAAUGAUACUUAUAUGAAUAGUCACAACUUUUCAAUUUAAAUAGUCACAUCUUUUCAAAUUUAAAUGUAAUUAUUUUGAAAUUAUAGAAAUAUGAAUAGUCAAAACUUUUCAUUUAAAUAAUUACAUAUUUUACAAUUAAAUUCUGACUAAUGCACAACUCUUGAAACAAAUAACGAAAAGACACAACUUUAACAAGAAAUAAAAUUCCUAUAAAUAUACACAACUUUUCAACAUUGUUUGAGUUUUUCAUGUAAGACAUUUAAGAGAUGCAACUUUUAUGUAUAAAACUUAAGAGAUUCCAAUUUUCAUAUUAAUCAAUACACUGAUUUUUAGAAAUAAAACAAUUGCAAAUAUUUAUAAAAUAUUAAUAAACAGAUAUGAGAAAAAUAAAAACGAAAAAACAUAAUUUUCAUCUGAAUACUAAUAAAUACAACUUUUCAUAUAAAAAAUUAAGAGAUGCAACUUUCAUAUAGAUGAAUAGUCACAUUUUUUCCCAGUUUAAAGGUGGUUAUUUUGAAAUAAUACUUAUAUGAAUAGUCACAACUUUUCAAUUUAAAUAGUCACAUCUUUUCAAUUUAAAGGUAGUUAUUUUGAAAUGAUACAUAUAUGAAUAGUCACAAUUUUCAUGUAAAUAAUUAUAUCUUUUUAAUUUAAAUACUAACUAAUAUACAACUCUUGAAACGAAAUGACAUUUCUUAAUAUAUAAUGAAAAGACACAACUUUUAACAAGAAAUAAGAUUCAUAUAAAACACACAACUUUUCAACAUUGUUUGGGUUUGCUAUUAUUAAUUGUUUUUCUUCUUCACCAUUUUAUUUGAUUAGUGAAAAUUAUGCUUUGAGAAGACAUGGACAUUGGACUAUUUAUAGAUUUUUAAAAUUUUGUUUGAAGAGUCACAUCUUUUAAAUUAAAAGUUUGUGUCUUUUUGUAAUAAUACUUAUAUGAAGAGUCACAAAUUUUCAAUAUAAAUUGUCACACUCUUUCAAUAUAAAUAGUUAUUUUUAAAUAAAAAGACACAACUUUUAAUUGUUGAAAAGACACAUACUUUUAACAUAAGUGGAAUUCACAACCUUUUGAAUUAAUUGAGAUUGUUAUUAUUAGUAGAUUUUUAUAUAAACUAUAUAUAUAUAGAUAUUAUUUUUUAUUUGAACAUUUGAAAAGACUAGACAAAUUAAUUCUAGGCCAAUCUUACAAUGUGUUACUGUGUUUCAGAAUUUAAUGUUGAUGAAGAACUAGAAGCCAUGGGUAAGAAAAUGGUCACAUAUUGUGGAGGACUACCAUUAGCCGUUAAAGUGCUGGGAGGCUUGUUAGCUAAUAAAACCAUGGUUGAAGAGUGGAAAAGAGUAGAUGACAAUAUUCAAAGUCAGAUAGUUCGCAUAGAUGACAAAAGUCAAGAUUCUGUUUACCGAGUAUUGUCUAUGAGCUAUGAAGAUUUGCCAAUGCAGUUAAAGCAUUGUUUCCUCUACCUAGCUCAUUUUCCCGAAGAUGACAAGAUACAAGUGGAGAGAUUGUAUUAUUACUGGGAAGCAGAAGGAAUAAUAACGUCAAGUUGCGAUGGAGCAACCACUAGGAAAAUUGGAGAAGAAUACAUAGACGAGCUAGUAAGGAGAAAUAUGGUUAUUGGAGUAAAAGAGGAUUUGAGUUGCAAAUGGGAGUAUUGUCAAAUGCAUGACAUGAUGAGAGAAGUAUGUUUAUAUAAAGCCAAAGAAGAGAACUUUCUUCAGUUUAUCAAAGUCCCUACUACUUCCACCUCCACCAUCAAUGCUCAUACUCCUACCAGAUCUCGCAGACUCGUAGUACACGGUGGUGGUAAUGCAUUUGAUAUGCUGG